UACGGAGGGUGCUAGCGUUGUCCGGAUUUACUGGGUUUAAAGCGCGCGUAGGCGGCCUUAUAAGUCAGUGGUGAAAUACGACAGCUUAACUGUCGAACUGCCAUUGAUACUGUAGGGCUUGAGUACAGACGAGGUAGGCGGAAUUGAUAGUGUAGCGGUGAAAUGCAUAGAUACUAUCAAGAACACCGAUUGCGAAGGCAGCUUACUAGGCUGUAACUGACGCUGAGGCGCGAAAGCGUGGGGAUCAAACAGG
rnacentral:rRNA from 1 species